rnacentral:lncRNA from 1 species
AAAACAAAACUACGAAAGUGUGUUAUCAAAAGGCUAAUUGGAGUGUCAGCCACGACAAAGUGGGCAAAAAAAAAAGGAGAGACAUAUGAGAGCGACCAUGCAAAGAGAUUGCACCGCUGGUAAUAUUAGCCAUCUGUUGGACGCACUGGCAAACAAGCAAGCAAGCAACGUGCAGAGAUCCUAGUCGUGCCAGCCUCAACCAAAGAAGAGCUUAGCGAGCUAGCAUCCAUGAUCUGUUCCUCUCCUUUGCUACCGUCACUCCUCAUCUCCUACACAUGGAUGACAUGUUACUUUUGCUUGCCUUUUCUUCUUUCAGCCCCUACCAGCUCCACACAGAAUGUGCCAGGUGGGUUAAUUAGUUUUGACCUUUGACUAUUGAAAGCUAAGGUUAAGCUCCACAAACCCAACACUCUCGCCGUUUUGAAACAUGGUCGGAUUAAUUUACGUAAUACAAGCAUAUAUUAUAUUUCUAUGUUGUUAACGAUUGCGAAAAAGUAGAAGCUCUGUGUCAUCGUCCAUCGGGUCAGCUAGCGAUCAUUCCAUCGUUCAACAUGACCGAUCGAUCAUUAGCAAGGAAUUACAUCGAUCUCUGUUUCUCUAAAAGACAUGUUGAAUUAGCAUUGCAUCUUUACUGAUGUGUUUCACAAAAGAUGGCUAAGACUGUUUGUUCCUCCUCCCCGGUUGCUCAAGAAAGUCAGAGCAGGAGGAACAAAUGUCCUAAACCAUCCCACGUGAGGUCCUUGUCUAUUCCAAAUCUCCCUCUAAGACCAUUUCAAAGCAACACUUAUUAAGAUUUCGCAAAAGGGAGAAAAUAAAUAAAUUCCAUUAAUGUUUUGUUCGAUUUCAUAAAUGACAAAUCUCAUCAAGGUCUUACUAUCAAUGUUCCAUCCCUGUUUCAAAAAAAAAAUGUGGUCUCAAUCCCAUCACGACUCUCGAGUGCGACAUGGAUUGCGAUCCACAGAGUUGUUUUUAGCAGCAUUUCCACAUCAAAUAAAGAUAGACAAAGAAAGAAGGAUAAAGAUAAUACCUGCGAGCCAGGUGGAUCACGCGGCCCCACAUGUCGGCCCCACGUGACACGCCGGCCUGCCUGAUGGCGCGUAGUAGUAGCUAUUUUCUGCAAAAGCAAAAGCGUGGAUUUUGGGCGGAGGGAUCGUCCGUCGUCCCCAAUAAUGCCGUGACAAGCAGCCAACGAACGCCUCUUUCCGAGAUCUCAUCCCCCACCUUGUCUCUUUCCCCUUCCUCCCCAGCGAAUCACAAUCGCCCCUUCUUGACCCCUUCCAAUUCCGAUCCCGUUUCGCGACAAGCCACCGCUUUCUUGGCUGGUUCUUCCGGAUUGGAGACAAAAAAGCCGCCGCCGCUGCUGCUCCUGCCAUUGCUGCUGCUUCCUGGCGUGAUUGGGACUAAAAGAGGCAACCAGGGCUCGAUUCGAGGCAAGCUUGUUUUCGGAUCCAGGGCGGGAAGGGACUGGAUUGGCGGUGUGUUGUCGGUCUUGUUGUUGUUGUUGUUGUUGUUGUUGCUGUUCUUGGCAUGAGCGUAGGGGAAGAUGGGGCUGGACUACUACAACGUGCUCAAGGUGAACCGGGGCGCCACGGAGGACGACCUCAAGAAGUCGUACCGGCGGCUGGCCAUGAAGUGGCACCCCGACAAGAACCCCGGCGACAACAAGGGAGAGGCCGAGGCCAAGUUCAAGAAGAUCUCCGAGGCCUACGAGGUAUAUAUCAUAUGGGCACUGUAUAAUUAAUUUGUUGCAGCUAAACCUGAAUGAUUUACAAUGCUAAUCCUUCUUGGAAAUGCGCCGUGCGAAAUAAAUUUAGCAGCAAAUGAUAGCAUCUGUUUCGUCGUGCGAUUCAGAAAAUGUUUCUGAUGAUGCAAAAUCGGAGGGAAUCCUCUUUUUUUCUUUUUGCAAUCAUGUCGUUUAUUGCACAUUGCGUUUCAGGUUAUGUCAACCUGGAUUUUUGCAGGCACACAAAAAAUGUUGUGCCUGCUUUCAAGGUUCAUAUGUAUAUGUUUAGACAGUUCAAGAAAUCUGUGAUUAGUUCUUUUGUUCUGAAGAAUGCUGCUCAAAUUGCUGAAUUUUGUGACCAAUGUCUAUUGCCUUUCAGGUUCUGAGUGAUCCUCAGAAGAGAGCGAUAUAUGAUCAGUACGGGGAGGAGGGCCUGAAGGCAUCUGCAGACAACGGUGGCUCGUCAUCGUCAUCGAUGAAUGGCACCGCUAACCACCGUUUUAAUCCCCGGAAUGCCGAGGAUGUGUUCGCUGAGUUCUUCGGUAGCAGCAAGCCUUUUGAGGGGAUGGGGCGUGCCAAGUCGAUGAGAUUCCAGACAGAAGGCGCUGGCACCUUUGGUGGGUUCGGUGGUGGUAAUGACAGCAAAUACAGAUCAUACAAUGAUUCCGCUGGCACCAGCUCUAGCCAGCCCCGGAAGCCACCAGCUGUGGAGACGAAGCUGUCCUGCACGCUUCAAGAGCUAUACUCUGGUUCAACGCGCAAGAUGAAGAUAUCUAGGAACGUGGUGAAGCCUAAUGGGUAAUCCCACUGUUUCCUGUGAAAUUCCUGCAAGAUUUCAAUGAAUCCCUGCUUUCCAAACUGGAAGUACAUUGAGAUGUCAAGAACAUGACGAUUGAUGCAUUGCCAUUUCGUUUCUGUCCCAAAAUGCAUUUUACUUACCUGCUGAUUUUUUAACAGGCAACUGGGGACUGAAUCCGAGAUUCUGACGAUCGAUAUAAAGCCCGGGUGGAAGAAAGGGACCAAGAUCACAUUCCCAGACAAGGGCAAUGAGCAGCCAAACCAGCUCCCUGCAGAUCUCAUCUUCGUCAUCGAUGAGAAACCCCAUGAUCAGUACACAAGGGAAGGCAACGACCUCCUGGUCUAUCAGAAGAUUGACCUGGUGGAUGCAUUGGCAGGAACCACGGUUAACCUGAAGACCCUUGACGGGCGUGAUCUGGUGAUAAAGCUGACAGACGUGGUGACACCAGGGUAUGAGCUUGCAAUCGCAAAGGAGGGGAUGCCUAUCGUCAAAGAGAACGGGAGGAGAGGAAAUCUGAGGAUCAGGUUCGACGUUGAUUUCCCAAAGAGGUUGUCAUCGGAGCAGCGGCAGAAUAUUAGGAAGGUUCUUGGAGGGCAACCUUAGCAGCAAUGAUCAAACCCCGGAUGCAAAUUCAGCUACCCUCUAGUUCUCCACGAAAUGCAGACUAAUUCAGAUGUUCUUCUUUUUCAGUUGGCUUGUAUGUCUAGUUACUUUUGGUUUGCAGGAAUUUCCUGAUUUGCUCCUUUGUUGACAAGAUAGCAAUAUUAAUUGUUGACUAGAUACAGAUUACAGUGUGACAUUGAAUUUUUUUUUUCACCUCUUCUAUUGCAUGUUUCAACAUUCAUUUGCAAAUAUAACAGAUUUCGAUCUCUUGCCUUUUGUGAAUUGUCAUGCUCUUUGAAGUAAAAAUAUUCUGAGUAAUGCCGAGCGCUCAAAUUUGAAAACAUUGCCAAAUUUGUUUUUGAUCAGUAGGAUGGCGGUUUAGUUCAUCAUCUUCCAACAAAUCUCUCCUAUUUCAAAUUCGACUUCAACCGAUAAAUAUGAAUCAAAUCACACCAGCAAAUCCAUACCCUUGAUAACCCAUACAAUUCAAAAGAAAAGUGUCAUGCCACGGUGGGGGAACUUUGGGUUAGACGGACCAACUUUUACAUAGAUUUAGGCUAAUUUGGAGAGACAAAUAGGCUAAGUACUUCAACAAAUGUUUUAAGGUGAAGGAGCAUCAAAUCUCUACUUAUAAGCAUUAACAUUGCGCAACUCAAAAAAAUACGUAUUGCAAUUAGAGACAAGUGGAUCCAGACAUGUUUCUGAAAUUUGGUUUGAACAUAAAUUUGAAACCUAUCAAACAUUUCUCACCCAGCACAGACCUUACCCACCUAUUCGUAAAUAGCAACGGCCUCGCUUGAAAAACGGGCCCCACCCUCUUCCUCCCUACAAAAAAAACGACACUUUUCGCGGUUCCCUUUCCAAGCCGUAAUUUUUUUCGCGCGCCCGCCGAAACCACCGCGUCCGGGAGCCGUCGGAUCGCGAAACGGACGGUGUUCGAUCGAUGAAGCAGGCGGAGGAGAACUCGGCGGCGGCCGCCGGCGCCGCCCAGGAGCCGCCAACGCCGACGCCGACGGUGUGGUACGACCCGAUGUCCCCGACGUCGUCUCCGACGGCGCCACGGCCGCCCGUCAGGGUUUACGCCGACGGCAUCUACGAUCUCUUCCACUUCGGCCAUGCCCGCGCGCUCGAGCAGGCCAAGAAAUCGUGAGCCCCGUUGGACCCUCUUCUCAAUCACGAUUUCCUUUCUUGUUUCUUUCUCUGAAAGCAUUGACAACAUUGUUUCUGAAUUUCUGACACCAAUUUCUGAAUCUCUGGCAUGGAUUUGUUGUCUUCGUCAGAUUCCCCAACACGUACUUGCUGGUGGGCUGCUGCAGCGACGAGGUGACCAACUGGUACAAAGGCAAGACCGUCAUGACCGAGGAGGAGCGCUACGAAUCGCUUCGCCAUUGCAAGCAAGCAACCUUCUGUUUUCUACUUUACCUCCUCCGUUUCUGAAUUUUACCUUUUGUUCUUAUUACUGUCCCAUUUCUGAAUCUUGUUGAAGAUGGGUGGACGAGGUCAUACCCGAUGCUCCAUGGGUCAUCGACGAGGAGUUCCUCGACAAGCACCGCAUCGACUACGUUGCUCACGACGCUCUCCCGUGAGUGUGUACAUACUAUAUUUAUGCAGCAUUGCAUAUUUCAAAUCAAUCUAUGUAUCUAAUAUAGAUGACAGGUGUUCGAGAAACAAAAAUCUAUGACUCUGUGUUUUGUUGAUCAGUUUGUGAAAAGUGUAAUUGACUCACUUCAUGUGAUUUGUUUUCAGGUAUGCAGACGCAAGUGGAGCUGCCAACGAUGUCUAUGAUUUUGUUAGAAUUGAAUAUCUGAAUCCCCUCCUCAUUUUUUUUUUGGACUAAGCAAUGCUGAUGGUCAGCUAACUGGAAAAUGUGUUGUUUGGGCAGGUCAAGUCCAUUGGCAAGUUCAAGGAGACGAAGCGCACCGAUGGCAUCUCAACAUCGGACAUCAUCAUGAGGAUUUUGAAGGAUUACAACCAGUACAUCAUGCGGAAUCUGACCCGGGGGUACUCCCGCAAAGACCUUGGUGUGAGCUAUGUCAAGGUGAUCAUCAGUUCCAGCAGUAACAUCUCCCAAAGCAAAGGAAGGACACCAAGCACUAAUGAAUUACGUGUUUUCUAUUACUGUAAUGUGAUCAGGAGAAGCAAUUGAGAGUGAACAUGGGGAUUAGCAAGCUAAAAGAGAAGGUGAAGGAGCAUCAAGAGAAGGUGAUCCAAGUUACUCUACAAACCCCAAAAAAAUUCGGCAUAGAUCUUCACAUGAUUUUGCAAAUGAUAGUGAUAGUAACUUGGUAACGCAUAUGCAGAUUCAUAGUGCAGCAAAGAUUGCUGGAAGCAAUCCUGUGGAAUGGAUGGAGAAUGCCGACCGUUGUAUCGUUGGGUUUCUUGAAAAGUUUGAGGAAGGUUGCCACAUGAUGGUAAGCAAGUCUUUGAUUAAUUUAAUUUAUCCGCAGUUGUCAAUACAGUAUUUGGUGAUUAUGGAUCGUGUUAUUUAUUUGACAGGAAACUGCAAUUAAAGAUCGAAUUCAGGAGGGGCUGAAGAGGAGAUCCAAAUCAGAGUCGGAGCUGAACCUUUCUGGAUCGGACUCGGACUCAUAAAGAUGUUUGUGGGAAUCAGAUUCCUGCAGUAAAUGUAUAGUAUUAGAUUAGCAUGUUGUUAUAGCCUUGUAAGACAUCAAACUGCAACGGUGGUUUAUAAUAGGAGGUUAUGUACCAUUGAGAACAAUAAUUUUUUGCGGUGACCGAUCAGUCUCUGUUUCUUAAAGAUUGCUCAUUUGCAUUUUGCCUCCUAAAUGACAUUAUUCCUCUGAGAAACUUGGAUUUGCAGUACAUGAUCUCAUUCUUGUGAUUAUGUUUGUCAAUGGCCAUGUGUUAUUUUUAUUUAUUUCUUUUCGAGGAACCGGCAGGAUAGAAGUUAUUUACAGUGCUGCCUUUUCAUUAAGAAUGAUAGAAGUUAUUUACAGUGAGGAGCAGGUUUUUUGAGGGGAAAUGCCGAGGAAACCCCAACGAGAACAAGAAAAAACUAGUCGGGCUGUAGCACUGUGUGAUGUCCUCGAAGCUCGCAGGCAAGAUGAGUGACUUCGACCUAAUUGAGAAGCUUAAGAGUGAAAAUGCGACAGUUCGCUCCUUCCUGGCUUUCCACCAGACGUAGAUAAGUCAACCACUUUGCUUCCUCUUAAUGUCCUUGCCAGAAAGGAAAAGGGAGGCGUCCCACCACUCCUCUGAUUGCUUCUCCUGAAUAAGAUCAUGUGUAAUUUUAUUGGCCAUGUGCUAUUGCCACCAACUAAAUAUCAUUCAUAUACUUCUCCCUUUUCUUUCAGCUACCAUGAUAUAGUUUUCAGGGUAGUAUUGGUUAUACACUUAUACAUGAAGAUGCAAUUGGUAGCGGUUCGUCAGAUUUAGAUAAGCUGGAGCUAGCCUAUUUGCAGAACCCAAUGUUACAAUAAUGUAUUUUUAGCAACCAAGAACUAAAUUUAACACAUGCACAUGGAGAAUUCUGUUGAUUCAGAAACACCUAACGAAAAUAAUAUUUGUUAUCCUGAGUCAUACUCCUAGUAUACCAUCAAAACAAUUUCCCCUCUACAUACGAAUACUAGAAACGGAAGCUAGCUAUUUUCUAAUCUUGCCACCAACAAUUCGGUCCUGAUACUACAGUAUCACAUAAAACUUUGAUCAUCAUACAACACAACUCAAGAAAUUAAGCAGAAACAGUUCAUUGUCAUUCACCCUGGACUUCCUGUUUUACAUAAUGAUUUGAUUAUUUGGGAAACUGUUGUCUUCAAUGAUUUCACUGUCUCAUUGUCAGUUCUUCACCUAUGCCCUCUGAAAUACAUGUAUACUCCCUGCAAAACAGUAGAUUUGGAAGGAUGUCAUGAAACCACAGAAACUGUAGGAUGUCAUGUAUGUUCACUAAUUGCGCAUGUAAUAAUAUGGUAAAGGCACAACAAAAGCUGAUCAUUUCUGGUAGUCGAGGAGCCAUACUAGAAAGCAAGGAAACAACAAAAGUUUCUAGGCAUAUUCUUUUUUAGUUCCUCUCAAAAAAAUUGUUUUUCUUUGUUGAGCUUGCAACCAAGUGAACUUAUAAGAGUGAUAGUACAAACAAAGAGAAGAUGUUCCAUGAAAACAACAAUGUGAAAGAAAUGAAAGGUGGAACCGACAAUAACCUCAAGAACCCAAAUACUCAUAAGCGAUUCCGCAGUAAAUAAUAUGAAUCCAAUUAGAUACAGUACCUGCAUUACUCCAAAAAGGACACAAUUAAGGACUCACGGCAAGUUUUAGUGCUGAAGUAAAAUAUGUUCAAAGUUAACCAUAAUAGCGCAGAAGAACUAACCCCGACGAACAUAUCUCCGCUUAAAACAUCGAUAGCAACAAGAAUUCCCCUGAUUUCAGGUAAAGAACUGUAUCGAACUAUUGCAGUUGGAAACUUUGGCAAAAUGAAAAAUGCUUGACUUACGUAAGAGUUUUUCCCAUGAAUAUUAUUGGAGGAGCAAUUGCAGCAAUGACACAAAAUCCAACAUGCACCUGGCACAUAUCAAGCCAUCACUAUGCUCACCAGUGCAUUACCAUAGGAUCAAACAUAAAGAUAGAAAAAUGCAAUAGGGUUAUCUUUUUAGUUGAAGGUUAUUAGCAUGUGGAACUCAGCUCGGUGUAUAAAUAGAAGUACCGAGUAGAAGAUGAAAAACUGGCCAAAGGUCACCACGCUAUCGGUUCUGGUGUACAAAGGUAAGAUAAUUUUGUUACCAUAUUGGCAUUCUCAUAGAGCAUUUCCAGAUAAUGGUAAUUUACUUGGAAUUUUAAUUGAAAAGAAACCUCAUGGCCUGGUACAGAGGCCUGUACCAUAGUAUGUAUGAAAGAGGACAUCCAAAUAUUGCAUAGAUGACGGCAAGGAGAAAAAGAACAAUAUCUGCCAUAAAAAGGAGACAUGAUGUAAAAUAUGCAUGCUUAAGAAAAUGGUUUAUCUGGCAAGAUAUUUAGCACCUUCCAUGUGAAUUGAUUCGACUAAAACUGCAAAGACAUUCCAACUGAGACAGACAACAAUUCCUGCAAGAAGAGCAGCCGAUGAACAGGAGCUGAACUGAUGAUACUUCGUUCUUAUCUAUGUUGAAAACUAUCAGCAAUAAUCUCAAUUAAUAGGAGAAAACUGAUGUAAGGGUAAAAACCUAGCCAACUAGCAAAUGCUGAGUACUGCAACUUUUGAGCAUGGAUGGGUAUUUCAUUGGCUAUAUCAUGAUGUAUGAUGGGGAAGAACGGUGGCCAAUUUUUCACUUCGACCAUGACACCGGCUGCACAACCAGAUGUAUAUUUCAGAAUUCAGACAAAACGUGAAAGCAUGAUGGAUUUAUCUUAUGAUGCUCUCUUAGGACUACCUCUGUUCAUUGUAUUCUCCCUUUGUAUGAUAUCCUGCAACAAAAGUCACACUUCUGAUUCUGAAAACUCUUUGAGGACUCACUUUCAUAAAUUUGUUGACUAGAAAGACAAUAAUUAUUGGACAUAUGAAGCAACCCAAAUGAACAUAUGACACUCUAAGAUUACGAAAUAAUUGUGGAAGUGAAUCUAUAGGAUUUCUAAUUAAGUGAAAAGGAGAACGGACCCGCUCUCUCCUCUUCAAAUCCUCCUCCCACGAUAAGAGCUCUUUCUCCCGCUUCCUCGGAUCCUACAUGAAUUAGGAUUAUCAUUAGGUGUACCAAGAACACAAUAUUAUCUUGUGUAUGAACAAUGUAUACAUAUAGUGGGAUGUCGAUGGUGGCGCCAUGGUUAAUGCUGCCUCCAAAGCCCGCCGGGAUCCAGGAUUUCUUCGAUGGAGCUGGUGCCAAUGCCUGUCCAUUAUGAAAUACAAACGAUAUGUCCCAAGAAAAUAACAAUCAACUGUCAUCAUGAUUCUUCACAAAAAAUGACACUGAAAUAACACCCCGCUUAAACUCAGGCUGCAUACUGAACUACAUGAGAGUUGGAUUGUUCUAUUAGUAUGCAUAGAAAAUGAUCAGAUCAGAUAAGUCCAAUGGAAAAUCAAGAUAUAAAAGUUGAAUAAUUUGAUCUAAUCUCAAUAAAUCUAUCCAAAGAAACCUCGCAAGCAGACCAGAAUGCAAAACGAUUCAGAGCAUUUUGUUCUUCUAAGAAAUUCAAUCCAGACAGUCUCGAUACAGAGAUCAUCAGAACGCAUGGGUCUUUUUUUUAACCAAAGUUAAUCUGGACAUGAGAAACAAUGCUCCAAAGAGAAAUGUCUCAUCAAAAGACAAAUAAUUUGAACCCCAAAUAAGAAGAAGAAACAUGUAAAGUCUGGAAUACCGCUGUAGGAUUGACAUUUUCGUCUUCAAACGGAUUUGUGUUACGAGACAUCAUUAGGAAGAUCCCUCGGCAUGAAUAAAUCCCUGUGUUGUCUACCUUUGGGAUGAGCCGAAAUCUGUGCUGCAAUAAAUCUGUGCAUGGCCAACGAAAGGAAGUUAGUUAUUUUCAGUUAAUGCUGGCCGUCUAGCGCUUUGGUCCUUAUUGGUUGUUACAUUCCAAUACCAUCAGCCCCUCGUUUUAUUACGUUUUACCUUUUUUAUCCCUUCUUCCUCUCAUUUUGGAAAGUGUAGGAAUUCUUACAGAACUGUUGAUUCGUAAUCUCACAGAAUUCACGAAAAAUCCUGGGUUGUUAGUUUUGUCUUUUAAGCAGUUUAGUACAUGCACGUUAUAGACUGUAAGAAAUCAGAACAGAAAGAAACACAGUAGGCCUGCGAAGUGGAAUUUGAUGGAGCUGAAGAGACAGAAUCAAUUUCAUGCCCCGUUAAACAUAACAACUGCAUCCAGUAUCCACAUUGCAGUGAGCUCGAUACAGAAAAUGCAUUGAUUCAGAAAUGAGACAAAUGCCGUCUAUAGAAGAUCAAUCUGAAGUUAACGCGGCGUUAUUAUGCCAUACACAGUAGGAGGAAUUUUCACAGAUAACACUUUGCUAUCAAGCGUAAUACACAAUACACUGGCAGACAUUGUAAACCAAAUAAGGAGGCAACAAAUCCAAAUUUCUGCAGUAUCUUCUCUAUUUAGUGAUGGUGGUCUUGAACAUAGCGAAGACCACAGUAUUUGCACACAGCAGGGGCCUCCAGAUCAAGGCAGAUAUACUCGAUUGGAUGGCCAAGGGCAGGGUUACUAUCUGUAUAUAUAAUCCAAAUGGAAACAGUCAGCCUUGCAGAAAAUGAAUGCCCAUGACUCCAUGGGUGAGUAUAUUAAUAUAUGUAGCAAGCGAAAAAGGGACCGAAGCACGGUAAUGAGAAUUUGUAAAAAAAAAAAAAAAAAAGCAGGCUAGAGUUUGCUUUCGCCUACCCCCUUCACAAGCGACAAUUCGCCCUUCAACCUUGAUCGGCGGCACCUCAUUGAUCAGUUCCAUCGGAGAUUUCUUGCUUGUGUCCUGCGAUAAAUAAAAUCAGAGAGGAUCAAAAAUUAUAAACACUCCUUUCAAAAGAAAAAUUAUAAACACUGGCAAUAUAAUGAGUGACAAAAAAUAUCACUGUCUUCAACCAAUAAAGCUCACAAAUUAGGUAGUUGUGCAACUUAAGUUGUGAAUAUCACACGACAAACUCAUGCCAACUACCUGGUAUAUUGGUAUAAGUACAAAUUCUGCUAUCUUUGAGGAUAUGGGAAUCCCAAAGCUAAGAAUUGACUUUCAGGCAUCACUUUUUGACAGCGCAAGGAAUAUUGGUCUUUACUCAGUUCAACAAUUGACCUCUCAUAUAUUAUUGCUGCAGUAGCCACUUGCUAUAGUAGUUCCCAGAAAAGCCUCAAAAUGAUACACGUCGUUUAAGUUUUACUCAGUGAAUAGGCGAAAACCAAAAUCGAUACUGUCCAAGUAUGGUAGGAUGGUGUUGGACUACUGGGCUGCUGGCUGUGACAUUAUUGUAACAGAAAUACAAUUGGAAGAUUAUUCAGAUACAUCAUAAGCUCUUGCAUACAUUCUUAUCUGUAACCUAUGACAUGAAAUGAGGAGAAAACGGUUUCACUUGAUCAACAAGGUCGAUAUAACAAAUUGUUAGAAGGGAGGUCCAGCCAUAAGUCGGUAAAACAUCUGUAACCUAUGACAUGAAGAAAUGAAGUAAUACAAAAAGGAAAAGAAAGAGAAAACAAAAAUCAUGAUCAACUAAGCCCUCUCGAGGGCUUGCUUAAGAAUAAGAAAGAAGAAUCUUAUGGAAAUGGAAUAAGGUUUGAUCCUAUUCAUGGGGAUUCCGUAAAUAUGCCAUUCCAAAAAUAGAAACAAUCGGGACUUUUCGGAGAUUGGAUGCAGUUACUAAUUCAUGAUCUGGCAUGUACAGAAUGAAAACUUCAUUCUCGAUUCUACGAGAAUUUUUAUGAAAGCGCUUCAUUUGCUUCUCUUCCAUGGAAGUUUCAUUUUCCCAGAAUGUAUCCUAAUUUUUGGCCUAAUUCUUCUUCUGAUGAUCGAUUCAACCUCUGAUCAAAAAGAUAGACCUUGGUUCUAUUUCAUCUCUUCAACAAGUUUAGUAAUAAGCAUAACGGCCCUAUUGUUCCGAUGGAGAGAAGAACCUAUAAUUAGCUUUUCGGGAAAUUUCCAAACGAACAAUUUCAACGAAAUCUUUCAAUUUCUCAUUUUAUUAUGUUCAACUUUAUGUAUUCCUCUAUCCGUAGAGUACAUUGAAUGUACAGAAAUGGCUAUAACAGAGUUUCUGUUAUUCGUAUGUAUAUUUAAAACAAUCUACUAAUGGUCUGCUGACUGCCAAGCUUCAGCAAAGAUAUAGAAACAAACUUAAAAGACACACAAUGCAUCAAGAUAUAAUGUGUCAAAAAAACAACAGAAUGAGUGCAUGUUACGGGACAUGCAAGGAUUACACAUCUCAUCAAGGAUAAUCGAAGAAACUACAAACCAGCUGUGCCUUCCUUCACUG